ACGCGAAGAACCUUACCUGGCUUGACAUGGUAGUGAAACUUUGGUGAAAGCCAGCAGCCCUAUCGAGCUUGCUCGGUGGCACUAUCACAGGUGUUGCAUGGCUGUCGUCAGCUCGUGUCGUGAGACGUUGGGUUAAGUCCCCUAACGAGCGAAACCCUUGUCUUUAGUUGCUAACGGGUAAUGCUGAGCACUUUAGAGAGACUGCCGUCGUUAAGACGGAGGAAGGUGGGGACGACGUCAAGUCAUCAUGGCCCUUAUGUCCCGGGCUGCACACGUGCUACAAUGGUCGGUACAAAGGGAUGCUAAGUCGCGAGAUGGUGCGAAACCUAUAAAGCCGAUCUCAGUUCAGAUUGGAGGCUGAAACUCGCCUCCAUGAAGUUGGAAUCGCUAGUAAUCACGGAUCAGCUACGCCGCGGUGAAUAUGUUCCCGAGCCCUGUACACACCGCCCGUCAAGCCACCCAAGCAAGAUGCACCCAAAAUCGCCUGCCUAACCCGUAAGGGAGGGAAGUGCCUAAGGUGUGUUUGUGAGGAGGACUAAGUCGUAACAAGGUAGUCGUAGGAGAACCUGCGGCUGGAUCACCUCCUU
rnacentral:rRNA from 1 species